UAGGGGUAGGGGUUGUUAAAGAUUUGGUAAAUUUUUCCUAAUCUUUUAU
rnacentral:tRNA from 1 species